CCGCAAUGGGCGAAAGCCUGACGGAGCAAUACCGCGUGAGGGAGGAAUGCCUUUGGGUUGUAAACCUCUUUUCUCAGGGAAGAAGAUCUGACGGUACCUGGAGAAUAAGCAUCGGCUAACUCCGUGCCAGCAGCCGCGGUAAUACGGAGGAUGCAAGCGUUAUCCGGAAUUAUUGGGCGUAAAGCGUCCGCAGGUGGUUUUCAAAGUCCGCUGUUAAAGACUGGAGCUCAACUCCGGAAAGGCGGUGGAAACUUGAGAACUAGAGUUUGGUAGGGGUAGCAGGAAUUCCCAGUGUAGCGGUGAAAUGCGUAGAUAUUGGGAAGAACAUCGGUGGCGAAGGCGUGCUACUGGACCAUAACUGACACUCAGGGACGAAAGCUAGGGGAGCGAAAGGGAUUAGAUACCCCUGUAGUCCUAGCUGUAAACGAUGGAAACUAGGUGUGGCUUGUAUCGACCCGAGCCGUGCCGUAGCCAACGCGUUAAGUUUCCCGCCUGGGGAGUACGCACGCAAGUGUGAAACUCAAAGGAAUUGACGGGGGCCCGCACAAGCGGUGGAGUAUGUGGUUUAAUUCGAUGCAACGCGAAGAACCUUACCAGGGCUUGACAUGUCGCGAAUCUUGAUGAAAGUUGAGAGUGC
rnacentral:rRNA from 1 species